UCGUAAUUUUCAUUUUUUUGUAUAGUAUCGUUUACUAUUCAUACUACUAUUAAGGAACCUCACAUGGUUACAUUUGCACAAAUAAACUUGUUCUAAAAGGAGUCGGAAGAAGAACAGCUUAUUUAUUAAUCUUUGUCCACUUACAGAGAAUGAAUUGGAUUGAUGGCCAUUAGGUUUACAUUAUACUGCCUGUUUUUGCCUCUGUGGCUCUUUAAAAUAAUGUAUUCAAAGAUGUAUGUUGUCAUAAUCAAUCAUAAUAAUAAUAAGUCAAAUAAGUCAUGAAUAAGUCAAACAUUGUCUUUCAUAGAUUAAUGCUUAAUUUGUGGACCCCUCAGAUGUAAAGACAUGAUGUGCCUCUAAUACUUUGUUCUUUAAGUCCUUGUAAGUGUCGAAGGAAGUGAUUUCUAGGCGAGCAGUAACGUCUUGGUUAUGAUGAAUCUUUCAAAAAUUAUUUUUCUUAAGAUUGUUUAAAUCCAUUCAUGAUUGCGAAUACAUUUGCCUCUGAACCUUAAAAAAAUGCCCAAAUCUGCACUGAUGCAGUUAAAUAAACAGUAGCUUUAAUACUACUAUUAAGGAACCUCACAUGGUUACAUUUGCACAAAUCAACAUGUUCGAAAAGGAGUCGGAAGAAGCACAGCUUAUUUAUUAAUCUUUGUCCACUUACAAAGAAUGAAUUGAACUGAUGGCUUACAGAGUGAUGAAGAAAGCAAAAGGUGUACAAAAGUAAACAACGAGUCUUUUUGUCAUUAUUAGGUAAUAAUCAUACAAGUUUCUUGGCAAUGAAGAAGUCUUUGAGUCGUUUCAUCUGCCAGAAACCAACGGAGAGCAAGAUAGAGGUCUGCACCACGGCCCACCACAGCACAUUACUGUUGGUGUCCUCGCUGAUCUGACGAAACAUCUCCUCCCUUUCCUAAAGGCACACACGUUCAUGUUACUCCAGGUCUCACCAGACGUUCUCCAGCAAAGACGGAGAACUUUGUGGAGUUGGUUUGGAAGCAGAGGAAGUGUUGACCAGACAUGUGAGCCGUGAAGCUGAAUUUGGCGAAUUUGCCAAAACGCUUUGUCAUCAAAAGCUAGCAAGAGCUCAGAGGCGAUGCAGCAGCUCCUGUAUGGAUGGGUCUACACCCUGGACAAGUCGCCUCCUCAUAAACCGGCACCCAGAAACGAUAUUUGAAACCAGCAAAGCUAAGUGACGCCAAGGUGAGGAGAGGAGGUGAACGACUUUAAGUCCCACGGCGCCAACAAGAAAUAUCCUGAAGGACUCACCUGUCACCAGCAUGUCUUCAGGAAUCUCCUCAAUGAUGCAUCUUUCCUCCUGCUCGCCCAGAUCAAAAUACAUGGCCGCUGCCAACAUCAGGGUUGCGGGGGGUGCUGGAGCCUAUCUCAGCUGCACUCGGGCGGAAGGCGGUGCACACCCUGGACAAGUCACCAAAUCAUCGCAGGGCCAACACAGAUAGACAGACAACAUUCACACUCACAUUCACACCCUAGGGCCAAUUUAGUGUUGCCAAUCAACCUAUCCCCAGGUGCAUGUCUUUGGAGGUGGGAGGAAGCCGCAGUGCCCGGAGGGAACCCACGCAGUCCCAGGGAGAACAUGCAAACUUUAACUCUAAAUGUUACCUCUAAACCUAAAUGUUAAAUGUAAAUCUAAAUGUGAGCGCCAAAUGUUAAAUAUGAGCGCUAAAUGUUAAAUAUAAGCCUAAAUCUCAAAUCUAUACCUAAAUCUUAAAUCUUAAAUCUAAAUCUCAAUCUAAAUCUCAGAGCUAAAUGUUGAAUUUAAACCUAAAUCUUAAAUCUAAAUGGAAAUGUUAAAUAUAAAUGUGAGCGCUAAAUGUUGAAUCUAGACCUAAAUGUUAAAUCUAAAUUUGAAUAUGAGCGCUAUAUGUUGAAUCUAAACCUAAAUCUUAAAUCUAGAUGGAAAUGUUAAAUAUAAAUGUGAGUGCUAAAUGUUAAAUCUAGACCUAAAUGUUAGAUGUAAAUUUGAA